rnacentral:tRNA from 40 species
GGGCUAUUAGCUCAGCGGUAGAGCGUGCCCCUGAGAAGGUCGGGGUCUCUGGUUCAAGUCCAGGAUAGCCCA